GUUAUAGGGUCAAGCGAAUAAGUGCAUGUGGUGGAUGCCUUGGCGAUCACAGGCGAUGAAGGACGUUGCAGCGUGCGAAAAGCCACGGGGAGCUCGCAAACAAGCUUUGAUCCGUGGAUGUCCGAAUGGGGAAACCCGGCCCGCAAGGGUCAUCCUUGGCUGAAUACAUAGGCCAAUGGAGGCGAACCCGGUGAACUGAAACAUCUAAGUAGCCGGAGGAACAGAAAUCAACCGAGAUUCCGAAAGUAGUGGCGAGCGAAAUCGGAAGAGCCUGCACAAUUUAACCAUUACGCUAGCAGAGCGGUCUGGAAAGGCCGGCCAUAGUGGGUGAUAGCCCCGUAUGCGAAAGCCUGGUGGUGGAACUGAGUGUGCGAGAAGUAGGGCGGGACACGUGAAAUCCUGUCUGAAGAUGGGGGGACCAUCCUCCAAGGCUAAAUACUCGUGAUCGACCGAUAGUGAACCAGUACCGUGAGGGAAAGGCGAAAAGAACCCCGGGAGGGGAGUGAAAUAGAUCCUGAAACCGCAUGCAUACAAACAGUGGGAGCCCCUGCUUAAUGGGCUUUCGACGAGUGCGCGUAGCGCACGAGUCAAAAGACCUUCGGAUGAAAUAGAUCCAGAAAUAUCCGAAGGGCUUUCGGUUCUUUCGAGGAGCGCGAAGCGCGACUCAAAAGAACUAAGAAAGAAAUAGAUCCUGCAGACAAGCCACAAGGCUUCGUUGGUUGGAUCUAGCAACCUUGAUGAGUUCAAUCGAAGUGGAGUGACUUCGGAUUGCGAUUGGCGUGAGCGAAAGCGAACGGCAAGCGCGAGACGAAAGGAACCCCUGCUUGAUGGACUCAUCGAGAGUCCAUCAAGCAGGGGUGACUGCGUACCUUUUGUAUAAUGGGUCAGCGACUUACAUUCAGUGGCGAGCUUAACCGAAUAGGGGAGGCGUAGCGAAAGCGAGUCCGAACAGGGCGAAUCAGUCGCUGGGUGUAGACCCGAAACCAGAUGAUCUACCCAUGGCCAGGAUGAAGGUUGGGUAACACCAGCUGGAGGUCCGAACCCACUACCGUUGAAAAGGUAGGGGAUGAGCUGUGGGUAGGGGUGAAAGGCCAAACAAAUCUGGAGAUAGCUGGUUCUCUCCGAAAGCUAUUUAGGUAGCGCCUCGUGUAUCACUUCCGGGGGUAGAGCACUGUAAUGGUUGUGGGGGUCAUUGCGACUUACCGCGCCAUAGCAAACUCCGAAUACUGGAAAGUGUGAGCACGGGAGACAGACUUGGGGUGCUAACGUCCUGAGUCGAGAGGGAAACAACCCAGACCGCCGAUUAAGGUCCCGAAGACACAGUUAAGUGGGAAACGAGGUGGGAAGGCUUAGACAGCCAGGAGGUUGGCUUAGAAGCAGCCAUCCUUUAAAGAAAGCGUAAUAGCUCACUGGUCGAGUCGUCCUGCGCGGAAAAUGUAACGGGGCUCAAACUGUGCACCGAAAUCGCGGAUAUCCGUAAGGAUAUGGUAGGAGAGCGUUCCGUAGGCCGUUGAAGGUGGGGUGUGAACCCUGCUGGAGGUAUCGGAAGUGCGAAUGCUGACAUGAGUAGCGAUAAAGCGGGUGAAAGGCCCGCUCGCCGAAAGCCCAAGGUUUCCUGCGCAACGUUCAUCGGCGCAGGGUGAGUCGGCCCCUAAGGCGAGGCCGAAAGGCGUAGUCGAUGGACGUCCCGGUUCAAGCGUGUAGGCGUGCCCGGUAGGCAAAUCCGCUGGGCUUAGCCGAGGCGUGAUGACGCAAGGUCCUUCGGGACCCCAAGCCGCUGAGACCCCGCUUCCAGGAAAAGCCUCUAAGCUUCAGUUGCAUGAAGACCGUACCGCAAACCGACACAGGUGGGCAGGAUGAAGAUUCUAAGGCGCUUGAGAGAACUCAGGAGAAGGAACUCGGCAAAUUAGCACCGUAACUUCGGGAGAAGGUGCGCCCUUGUAGCGUGAAGGCCCUUGCGGCUGGAGCGUGACGGGGUUGCAGUGAAUUGGUGGCUGCGACUGUUUAAUAAAAACACAGCACUCUGCAAAGGCGAAAGCCGACGUAUAGGGUGUGACGCCUGCCCGGUGCCGGAAGGUUAAGUGAUGGGGUGCAAGCUCUUGAUCGAAGCCCCGGUAAACGGCGGCCGUAACUAUAACGGCUUUGAAGGCGGGAUGCUAGUUCCGCUGGAGCCGUCCUUGAAAUACCACCCUGGUGUCAUUGAGGUUCUAACCUGGAUCCCUUAUCGGGAUCGGGGACCGUGCAUGGCAGGCAGUUUGACUGGGGCGGUCUCCUCCCAAAGGGUAACGGAGGAGUUCGAAGGUUCGCUAGGUACGGUCGGACAUCGUACUGAUAGUGCAUUGGCAAAAGCGAGCUUGACUGCGAGACGGACAUGUCGAGCAGGUGCGAAAGCAGGACAAAGUGAUCCGGUGGUUCUGUAUGGAAGGGCCAUCGCUCAACGGAUAAAAGGUACGCUGGGGAUAACAGGCUGAUGACCCCCAAGAGUUCAUAUCGACGGGGUCGUUUGGCACCUCGAUGUCGGCUCAUCUCAUCCUGGGGCUGUAGCCGGUCCCAAGGGUAUGGCUGUUCGCCAUUUAAAGAGGUACGUGAGCUGGGUUUAAAACGUCGUGAGACAGUUUGGUCCCUAUCUGCAGUGGGCGUUGGAGAUUUGACGGGGGCUGCUCCUAGUACGAGAGGACCGGAGUGGACGCACCUCUGGUGUACCGGUUGUGACGCCAGUCGCAUCGCCGGGUAGCUAUGUGCGGAAGAGAUAACCGCUGAAAGCAUCUAAGCGGGAAACUUGCCUGAAGAUGAGAUCUCCCGGAGGCUUGACCUCCCUGAAGGGUCGUGGAAGACCACCACGUUGAUAGGCCGGGUGUGGAAGCGCAGUAAUGCGUUAAGCUAACCGGUACUAAUUGCCCGUGCGGCUUGAUCCUAUAACCUUA
rnacentral:rRNA from 1 species